rnacentral:tRNA from 1 species
AGGUGUAGCUUAGCUUGGUAGAGCGCCUGGUUUGGGACCAGGAGGUCGCAGGUUCGAAUCCUGUCACCU